rnacentral:rRNA from 1 species
AACGAACGCUGGCGGCAUGCCUAACACAUGCAAGUCGAACGAGACCUUCGGGACUAGUGGCGCACGGGUGCGUAACGCGUGGGAACCUGCCCUUAGGUUCGGAAUAACUCCCCGAAAGGGGUGCUAAUACCGGAUCAUGUCUUCGGCCCAAAGAUUUAUCGCCUUUGGAUGGGCCCGCGUUGGAUUAGCUAGUUGGUAGGGUAAAAGCCUACCAAGGCGACGAUCCAUAGCUGGUCUGAGAGGAUGAUCAGCCACACUGGGACUGGGACACGGCCCAGACUCCUACGGGAGGCAGCAGUGGGGAAUAUUGGACAAUGGGCGAAAGACUGAUCCAGCAAUGCCGCGUGAGUGAUGAAGGCCUUAGGGUUGUAAAGCUCUUUUACCCGGGAUUAUAAUGACAGUACCGGGAGAAUAAGCUCCGGCUAACUCCGUG